AGCACAUUAAAUUUGCAGGACCAUUAAAAAGUUAAACAGUGUAUUCUUUAUAUAUCAAGGGUUCUAGCUUCCAGUGGGUGAUUUGACAGCAUUGCCUUUCUUGAAGUCAUGGGCCAGAAGGAUUAAGGGCACAUCAGAUUACUGAUUUUCUAUGGGGAAAUCCAAGUAAAGGAACUCUUAUCUGAAGAGUAAUCGCACCACACAGGAGCAAGAAUCUGUGCCAUUCCUGUUGUCAACCAUUGACAAGUAUCUUUGAUUUUUCGAUCAAUUCCUGGCUUUCUUGUCGGCUCAGGCUUGCCAGCCACCUGAAGCUGAGGAGUCUUCUUAAUCAUCUGUCUUCC